AGGGCAUUGUGGGAAGGGCGGCCGGUGCAGCCGCAGCUGCCAUCUUAAGAGACUCCUUGCGUUACGGCCUUCCCGUCGGAGACGGCCUGCGCGGCGGCGGGAGCCCGCAGAGUGCCACAGAGAGGCAGACGGAGGGCAGCGCGCCUUCCUACAGCCUCGGCAAGCCAGCCAGCUAGCGCUCGGAGGCGGCGGCGGUGAGCGGUGCGCGCGUGAGGGGCCAGAGGCCGGCGUCGUCGGCGCGUCGCCGGAAGGAUGGGCCGGUCGCGGAGCCGGAGCUCGUCGCGCUCCAAGCACGCCAAGAGCAGCAAGCACAACAAGAAGCGCAGCCGCUCCCGCUCGCGCUCGCGGGACAAGGAGCGCGUGCGAAAGCGCUCCAAGUCCCGGGAGAGCAAGCGCAACCGGCGGCGCGAGUCCCGCUCGCGCUCGCGCUCCACCAACGCGGCGGCGUCCCGGCGCGAGCGGGAGCGGGAGCGCGCCUCGUCCCCGCCCGACCGCAUCGAUAUCUUCGGGCGCACGGUGAGCAAGCGCAGCAGCCUGGAUGAGAAGCAGAAGCGCGAGGAGGAGGAGAAGAAGGCCGAGUUUGAGCGCCAGCGGAAGAUUCGGCAGCAAGAAAUAGAAGAAAAACUCAUCGAGGAAGAAACGGCGCGAAGAGUGGAAGAAUUGGUGGCAAAAAGGGUAGAGGAAGAACUGGAGAAAAGGAAGGAUGAAAUUGAGCGAGAAGUUCUCCGAAGGGUGGAGGAAGCCAAGCGCAUCAUGGAAAAGCAGUUGCUCGAAGAACUCGAGCGACAGAGACAAGCUGAGCUUGCAGCCCAAAAAGCUAGAGAGGUAACGCUCGGUCGUUUGGAAAGUAGAGACAGUCCAUGGCAAAACUUUCAGUGUCGGGUUGUGCCUCCUGCUCAGUUCAGAAAGAGAUGGAAUACAGACUAUCGAAUUCCUUUCUCAUCUAAACUUACAUUGCUGCGAAAGUUAAUUUUCUAGCCUAUUCAGACGUGCUGACUGAUACGUAAAAGUUCCUUUCAUAAAACGUAUUCAAGGAUACUUUUUUGAUUUAAUAGAACUGGCUUACACAUUUGAGAAGUGUUUGAAACUUUUGCCAUGGCUGCAGGACUUACAUUCUUUUUGGGAGGGUGGGGGAGACAGGGAGUGGUAAAGGGAGAGAGUUACAACUCCACCUGUGGUUGUAUAUACUUUUCUGCUUAUCACUCUGUCACCUAGACUGUGAGAGGCUUUGCCUUCAGUCAGAGCAAAAGCGCAGGGCCUAAUACUGAGUGACAGCACCUGCUUCGGGUGAAUAGGUUUUCUCACUCUACUCUUCUCUUCUCCUCCUUUCACUCCCUCCCCUCCCCAAACCCCGGCUCAGCACAGUGGACUAAUUGUAGCGUUCUGCUCACGAGGCCCUCCAUUCCUAAUGUGUUUCAGGAAUCUUUUUAGGAAACAUGUCCAGAGCAUUCGUCCACUUUUUUAGUGCCUACUAACAACUCCUUUUUUUCUCUAGAGAGUUAUGAAGGAACAGGUUGUCCUUGUCUGGAGUCAAGCUAAACACAUGAUUUGUUUUGUCAGCAGCGGGAGCAGAAGUUGAAAAUGUCUUUCUGUGAGACAGUAAUUUGCUACUGAAGCUUUAUGGCUUGCUCGCACUGAUUACUCCGGGAUCCUAGAGCUUGGUGAAAGUCACCAAGCCGCAAGGCGAAUUCCGUAGAGCACUGAGUGUCCCACACCGUAGCUUGCGUGACGAAUGUGAAUCCCACUGGUGUGACACAGGAAAUCGUGUAGUUAAAUUCUCUAAACUGAAGUACUGACCUAAUAAAAUUGAUGACUCAUUGUCAUUUUCCAUUUCGGCAUUACGGGGACAAGUUGACAUAUUAAUCUCUUUGCUUCCCAGUAAGUUUAGCUUUUGAAUUGUGUUUUCCCUUGUCCUGUCUUUAGAUAUAUGUGUUGCCAUUAAUAGUGGAUUCAGACUACACUAUUUGAAAGUAUGAAAUUUUGAAUUGCAUCAGUGCUUUUAAUACUGAGUUUUGGAGUAAUUGUGCUAUCUUGUAGCGAGUUAUUAAUCAUAGUAAGAUUUUUUUCUCUUCAUUUGCUUUUUGUUUCGUAUUAACAAUUUUUUUUUUUCACACGGACACAACCCUCCUGACAGUCUUUCCAAAUAUUUAAAUCAUUUGACUAUGUAUGCUGUGAUUCGAACACUGCCCAAAUCAUCAAGCAGUCUUCAUAUAGUUUGCAUUAUAAAAUUUCAUUAAAUUCUCCAAGAAAAGCUAAAUUUCGGAAGAGUUUUAUUUCCUGACCAUGCCUCCCCGGAUUCCUGAACCUCAGGUCAGACCGUAGGUGACAGUUUGAGCUGCCUUUAGCAGUUGUCAACACCGAGUGCUAAGCCCACUUGUCCCCAUGGAAGCAGCCCGUAGUUCCAUGAAGUACGGAUUACCAUUUGUAUUUUUCACUAACAGUAAAUGUAUUUUUCUUAUUAAUUGUUUGCCUUAGGAAUGAUGAAUUACAUUUUUUGUUCCUUCUUACCAUAAACAUCUGCAUUCCUCAGCUCAGCCUUCCUUGUAUGUUGUUCCUUUAUAAAUGGUUGAGCUGCCGAUGCAGGUAUUGCCAAGCUAACAGUACAAAUCAUUUUAAAGAGGAAGCUGGCGCGUAUGGCAGCCGAGGAGCACACUCUGCAGGACACUGGACAAGACAGAGGAAGAACGGGCAAAACGUGAGGAGCUAGAACGAAUUCUGGAAGAGAAUAACCGAAAAAUUGCAGAAGCACAGGCCAAGCUGGCUGAAGAACAGUUGAGAAUUGUUGAAGAACAAAGAAAGAUUCAUGAGGAAAGGAUGAAACUAGAGCAGGAACGACAGCGGCAACAAAAAGAAGAGCAAAAAAUUAUCCUGGGCAAGGGAAAGUCCAGGCCAAAACUGUCGUUCACAUUAAAAUCCCAGGAUUAAAUCGCAAACUCUGGACUUUUUACAAAGGAAAA